rnacentral:rRNA from 1 species
UACGUAGGGUGCAAGCGUUGUCCGGAAUUAUUGGGCGUAAAGAGCUCGUAGGCGGUCUGUUGCGUCGGCUGUGAAAACCCGGGGCUCAACCCCGGGCCUGCAGCCGAUACGGGCAGACUAGAGUUCGGCAGGGGAGACUGGAAUUCCUGGUGUAGCGGUGAAAUGCGUAGAUAUCAGGAGGAAUACCGAUGGCGAAGGCAGGUCUCUGGGCCGAUACUGACGCUGAGGCGCGAAAGCGUGGGGAGCAAACAGG